UGGGCGAAAGCCUGAUGCAGCCAUGCCGCGUGUGUGAAGAAGGCCUUCGGGUUGUAAAGCACUUUCAGUAGGGAGGAAAGGGUAUUGCUUAAUACGUAAUAYCUGUGACGUUACCUACAGAAGAAGGACCGGCUAACUCCGUGCCAGCAGCCGCGGUAAUACGGAGGGUCCGAGCGUUAAUCGGAAUUACUGGGCGUAAAGCGUGCGCAGGCGGUUUGUUAAGCCAGAUGUGAAAUCCCCGGGCUCAACCUGGGAAUUGCAUUUGGAACUGGCGAACUAGAGUCUUGUAGAGGGGGGUAGAAUUCCAGGUGUAGCGGUGAAAUGCGUAGAGAUCUGGAGGAAUACCGGUGGCGAAGGCGGCCCCCUGGACAAAGACUGACGCUCAUGCACGAAAGCGUGGGGAGCAAACAGGAUUAGAUACCCUGGUAGUCCACGCCGUAAACGAUGUCUACUCGGAGUUUGGUGUCUUGAACACUGGGCUCUCAAGCUAACGCAUUAAGUAGACCGCCUGG
rnacentral:rRNA from 1 species